rnacentral:rRNA from 1 species
AUGGAUUCGCCUCCGCCGCAACGCCGACUCCAAUCGCUGGUCGACGACGCCAUCCGCGAGAUUUUGCUCCGGAAACCGCCGGACGACCCGGCGAGGCUCGUCCGCGCCUCCGCUGUCUCCACCGCCUGGUUCGGAAUCGUCUCCGACCCUUCCUUCUUUCGCGACUACCGGACCUUCCACGGGAAGCCCCCGAUAUUGGGCUACCUCGACAACAAAUCCUACGAGAGCCACAACGUCGCCCAAUUCAUCCCCACCGGAGCCUUCCGCCCGCUCGUUUGCGAGCGCCGCAACUGGGACGCGGUCGACUCCCGCCAUGGCCGCGUCCUCUUCUACACUCCCAAGGAGGACACGGAUUUCAUCGUUUGGGACCCCAUCACCGACAAGCAGCAGGUGAUUUCCGCCGAUCCCAAGAUAUUUGACAUACUUUGUACUGCAGAGGGGAUAACCUGGAUGGCCACUGUGCUCUGCGCCAAGGACGCCUGCGAUCACCUGGGCUGCCAUGACGGUCCCUUCCUCGUCGCCUUCAUGGGCUCCAACGAGGUAGAAAAGACCAUGUUCGCCUCUGUUUACUCAUCCGAGACUACCCAGUGGAGCGAAAUGAUCUCAAUUGAGAAUCCGCAUGAUAUCUAUCCGUUUGCCACCAACACAUGUCCGUAUGCCAUUGAGGAGAAGGGCCACACUGCCGUUGUCGGAAAGAAAAUCUAUUACCCCGUCAAGUGGAGCUACUGGACCAUGAAAAUUGUGACGUACAAUGUGGGCGAGCAGGAACUUUCACUUAUCAAUUUGCAGGGCCAGGCACCCGCGCGCGGUAUACUCAUGGGAGAGGAAGACGGUGCGCUGGUGUUUGCGGCCAUAAAGGAGUCUAAACUCUCUGUGUGGUCAAUGGAGGCUGGUCCCAAUGGAGUUGUGGCGAGAGGGCAACGCAGGGACAUCAAGCUUGAAACUAUUCUUACUCCUCGUGCCCUCUCAUGGAUGGUAGGCGAAACCUUCAAGGAUGGUAGAUGCACACUGGUUGGUUUCGCCAAUGGUGCCGGUGUCAUCUUCCUAAAUACAGCAGAUGGGCUCUUUACAGUUGAGGUCGGUUCUGGCCAAACCAAGAAGAUACACAGAAACUGCAGCUUCGAGACAGUCAUACCCUAUGUGAGCUUCUACAGUCGAGAGCAUGCCAGGUUCGUAAUGCCACUGCAAUCAAACUCAUACAAGAAGUGA